rnacentral:sRNA from 1 species
UAGCAAAUGACGCUCAGUCCGGGGAGGGU